CUCGAGGGCCUGACACGGGGCUGGCAUGGAAGAGGUGCUUGGUAAGUGAUUACCAAACACAGGACCACUGGUGAGGUACUGCUGCCCCGGAUCCUCCUGCCACAGCCGCUGCUGGCUCAUCUUCCCAUCAUGUCCAAAGCCUUCUGCCUGCAAAGAUUCAUCGAGCCUAAGAGUUCCCGUUGUGGCACAAUGGAAACGAAUCCAACUAGGAACCAUGAGGUUGUGGGUUUGAUCCCUGGCCUUGCUCAGUGGGUUAAGAAUCUGGCAUUGCCAUGAGCUGUGGUGUGGGUCACAGACGCAGCUCGGAUCUCUGCUGUGGUUCUGGCGUAGGCCAGUGGCUACAGCUCUGAUUCGACCCCUAGCCUGGGAACCUCCAUAUGCCACAGGAGCAGCCCUAAAAAGACAAAAAAAAAAAAAAAGAAAGAUUCAUCGAGCCCCUGCUUGGUACCCUGUGCUGGCCCCAGGGGCAGAGAGGCAGUGUAGUCCACGCCCACAGGAGCUUUUGGUCUGGGUGGGAAGUGUGGUACCCUGAGGCCACUGAGAGCCCUGUGAUGCUGCAUGUGGAACCUGGGAUAACAGCCACCCUUCCGUCUUUUCCUGACCUUGCAGAGUCACCUGCCAGAGCAACUCCACAGGGUCUCCUGCCCACUUUGCAGAUGGGGAAGCGAGCCGGGAGAGGUCAAGUGAGUCACCUGCCGUCACCCAGGUCACUACGGACCCUGAAGUCCAGGCUACAGCCUCCCAUGCAAAUGCUUUUCAAGAAGGCAGGGGUGCCUCCCACUCCAGGACACCCCAAGAAUGCAGUCAGUAUUGCUAUUUAAGCACAGUCCAGGCUCAAGGUGCUGUGCUGGGGGCAGCCCGUGAUCCACGAGAAACACCGGUCUUGCCUCAGGCCGGCNGGGGGGGGGGGGGGGGGGGGGGGGGGGGGGGGAGGCGGGGAUGAGCCCAUGUGGCUGCAUGUUAACCAAGAAUGCGAGGGAAAUGCCCAGUGGUUCAGACCAGGAAGAUAGUUUGCAAAAUUUUCACAAGAAAAUGCCCCCAGGGGAGAUUUAGUUAGAAAAGCAGCUCCCAGGGAGAUCCCUGGGGUCUCCUCAUUUCCCAGCCCUGACAACCCCCGCCUGCAACCCUGACUUCGCUGACGAGCCCGUAGCUGAAAAAGCGCAGAAUCAACAAAAUUAGAUGAUGUUGACAUCCCUGUGUCGGGCUUUCUCCUAGACCCGCGCUCUGCUGGCAGGAUGGGGGUGCUGUCCUGCCCAGGGCCCCCAGGGGCACCUGACUGUCACCAAGAAUCAAGGUGGGUGUGCAUGUGUGACGAAUGCACGCCUUCUUCUUUCUAAGGUUUUUCCAUUGCAGAGGUUGACCUCAAAAGGAGUAUCUCCUGGAGUCCCUGUUGUGACACAGUGGAAACGAAUCUCACUAGUAUCCAUGAGGAUGUGGGUUCGAUCCCUGACUGCACUCAGUGGGUUAAGGAUCCAGCAUUGCAGUGAGCUGUGGUGUAGGCCAGCAGCUGCAGCUCCAAUUCGACCCCUAGCCUGGGAACUUCCAUAUGCCACAGGUACGGCCCUAAAAAGCAGGGGGGAAAAAGAGUAUCUCCUUAAACUUUUGUUGUUCUUAUAGUAAGCUUUUGCUGAAAUCUGUUUCCUGUAUGUUAUGUAUACAUAUAACAGAAAAGGAUGCAAAUCAUAAACCCAGUCAAUUUUCAUUAAAUUGUCGGGAAGGAAGAAAAGCUUACACUUCUAGGUUCUGCUGGCUGGUCUAAGAAUUAAAUUUACAUGAGGAUUAACAGGAGAAAAUCGCAUUAAAAAAAUUUUUUUCCAUCUU
rnacentral:lncRNA from 1 species